GCGUUGGUGGUGCAACGGUUUAGCACAUGCUCCCGGAAAGAGUAAGAUGCGGGUUCAAGUCUCAGUUGACGCA